rnacentral:rRNA from 1 species
AACAAACGCUGGCGGCGUGCCUAAUACAUGCAAGUCGAACGGGGAAAGCUUUCGGGUGAGUACUAGUGGCGCACGGGUGAGUAACGCGUGGAUAAUCUGCCUUAGAGUGGGGGAUAACUAGUCGAAAGAUUAGCUAAUACCGCAUAAGACCACAAGAACUGCGGUUCAAGAGGUCAAAGGUUUUUCGCUCUAAGAUGAGUCCGCGUAAGAUUAGCUAGUUGGUGAGGUAACGGCUCACCAAGGCAACGAUCUUUAACUGGUCUGAGAGGAUGAUCAGUCACACUGGAACUGAGACACGGUCCAGACUCCUACGGGAGGCAGCAGUAGGGAAUAUUGCACAAUGGAGGAAACUCUGAUGCAGCGACGCCGCGUGAGUGAUGAAGGCCUUCGGGUCGUAAAGCUCUGUCGCAGGGGAAUAACACAAUGAAUGUACCCUGUAAGAAAGGAUCGGCUAACUUCGUGCCAGCCGCCGCAGUAAUAC